CAUGCAGUCGAGCGGAACGAGUUAUCUGAACCUUCGGGGAACGAUAACGGCGUCGAGCGGCGGACGGGUGAGUAAUGCCUAGGAAAUUGCCCUGAUGUGGGGGAUAACCAUUGGAAACGAUGGCUAAUACCGCAUAAUGCCUACGGGCCAAAGAGGGGGACCUUCGGGCCUCUCGCGUCAGGAUAUGCCUAGGUGGGAUUAGCUAGUUGGUGAGGUAAUGGCUCACCAAGGCGACGAUCCCUAGCUGGUCUGAGAGGAUGAUCAGCCACACUGGAACUGAGACACGGUCCAGACUCCUACGGGAGGCAGCAGUGGGGAAUAUUGCACAAUGGGCGCAAGCCUGAUGCAGCCAUGCCGCGUGUGUGAAGAAGGCCUUCGGGUUGUAAAGCACUUUCAGUCGUGAGGAAGGURGUGUAGUUAAUAGCUGCAUUACUUGACGUUAGCGACAGAAGAAGCACCGGCUAACUCCGUGCCAGCAGCCGCGGUAAUACGGAGGGUGCGAGCGUUAAUCGGAAUUACUGGGCGUAAAGCGCAUGCAGGUGGUUUGUUAAGUCAGAUGUGAAAGCCCGGGGCUCAACCUCGGAAUAGCAUUUGAAACUGGCAGACUAGAGUACUGUAGAGGGGGGUAGAAUUUCAGGUGUAGCGGUGAAAUGCGUAGAGAUCUGAAGGAAUACCGGUGGCGAAGGCGGCCCCCUGGACAGAUACUGACACUCAGAUGCGAAAGCGUGGGAGCAAACAGGAUUAGAUACCCUGGUAGUCCACGCCGUAAACGAUGUCUACUUGGAGGUUGUGGCCUUGAGCCGUGGCUUUCGGAGCUAACGCGUUAAGUAGACCGCCUGGGGAGUACGGUCGCAAGAUUAAAACUCAAAUGAAUUGACGGGGGCCCGCACAAGCGGUGGAGCAUGUGGUUUAAUUCGAUGCAACGCGAAGAACCUUACCUACUCUUGACAUCCAGAGAACUUUCCAGAGAUGGAUUGGUGCCUUCGGGAACUCUGAGACAGGUGCUGCAUGGCUGUCGUCAGCUCGUGUUGUGAAAUGUUGGGUUAAGUCCCGCAACGAGCGCAACCCUUAUCCUUGUUUGCCAGCGAGUAAUGUCGGGAACUCCAGGGAGACUGCCGGUGAUAAACCGGAGGAAGGUGG
rnacentral:rRNA from 1 species